rnacentral:misc_RNA from 1 species
GAUGAAGAACGUAGCGAAAUGCGAUAAGUAAUGUGAAUUGCAGAAUUCAGUGAAUCAUCGAAUCUUUGAACGCACAUUGCGCCCUCUGGUAUUCCGGGGGGCAUGCCUGUUCGAGCGUCAUUAUAACCACUCAAGCUCUCGCUUGGUAUUGGAGUUCGCGAUCUCGCGGCUCCUAAAAUCAGUGGCGGUGCCUGUCGGCUCUACGCGUAGUAAUACUCCUCGCGAUUGAGUCCGGUAGGUUUACUUGCCAGCAACCCCCAAUUUUUACAGGUUGACCUCGGAUCAGGUAGGGAUACCCGCUGAACUUAAGCAUAUCAUAAGCGGAGUA